GGAAUCUGGCGCGGCCUUUGUCUCACUUCAGCCCGAGCGCGGGGUUAGGGCUUCAUUGCCUUGUGUCUUCUGCUCCGGGAGACUUCGGUGAUUCUGCCACUCACUCCGUCGCUCUGUGACCUGCUGGCAUUGAAUGAUUUAUAGCUAAGACUCCAGGACACCCCUGAAGCCGAGAAAUGUGGAAAAGCGAGAUUUUCUUUGACCAUUGGCUAUGGACAUUGUCAGGGAUGGUGCAGCCUGAAUGAGAAUGUCUGCAGUAUUUCCUGAAAUAAGUAUCCCUCAAGGAUGAUACUGUGGACCUCACUCAGGAAGAAUGUGUCCUUCAGAGAAAGCUGCGCAGAGACGUGGUGCUGGAGAAGCAGUCAUCUGGUUACUUUGGGUUUGUGCCCCAGGAAGUAGUGUGUUGAUUUGAAGCCCUAAAAAAAAUAUUUUCCACACUCAAGAGUGACUUAUCCAGACCGAUUUUACCUAAGAAACAAGCCUGAAGGAGGAGAGAGAAGAAAGAAGAGUCAGAACUAGCACUUUCCCAGCAUGAAUGAGAGAUCCUUUCGCUUCACAUCUUUGCCAGCAUUUGGUGUUGUCAGUGUUCUAGAUUUUGGCCAUUAUAGUACAUGACUUCAGGCUCCUAUGUGCAGAAGUCCUCAACCCCCAGGCUGCAGACCAGUACCUGUCCAUGGCCUGUUAGGAAACUGGCCGCACAGCAGGAGGUGAAAUGAUUAUUGCAGUUUUGAGGGGAGAUGAUGUCACAAGAUCUCGAACCCAUAUCUCAGAACUGCCUGCCUCCUCCCACACACUCUGGCUGUCCUGACCAUCACUUCAAGCCCACCAGCCCUGCAGCAAAAAAAAUCAAACGAGUAGUUCAGAAGGCAAAGUCUGCAAGGGAAGGAAGUGUAUUGGGAGGUACAGUAAGUACUCCUGUCUGGAGAAGGUCUUCUUUGGGGCUAGAAACUGAGCCAGUGCUAAAGCCAUGCAGGAAGGAGGAAAUAAUCAGUGAGCCACGGGCUGAACUUGUGGAGAAGAAAUGGAGGGCAAGGUCACAAACCAGUCCCUAACUGCUUCUAAUUUAAUGUAAUCCUCACUGUUUGUCAUUAUUGCUUUUGAUGGCCAUGAAAUCUGUUUUUUUCCCAGUUCUCUAGUGUAAUUUGGAAUUAAUUUCCCAGCUGCUUUAUUUUUUUUCUAGAAGAGUCAGGGACAUUUUCAGGAUUAGUAGAGGUGUUUCUACAACACCUUCAUGCCUUCGAUAAUGUGUAAGAGUUCACCAAUUGAAUUACCUUAUUCUGUUCAGAAGUAGUAACUAUAGAGUUUAACCACUCUGGACAUAUUAUAUACUUAAUGGAGACCAUAGCUGUGUGGUGACUGAAAACAUGCAUUGUCUACUCCUUAUGGUGAGACUGCUUUCCUUCAUGAAGUCAGUAAAGAAGGGUAACUUUUCUGUAGAUUUUUGUAUUUUUAAAAAAGGUCAAGAUCUUCGGCAGUUUUCUGAAUUGAAUUGUUUGUGAUAUUUGCUCUGUUUUUAAAAUGUUCUAAGGCCAUUACCAGGUUCAGUGCUUAUCUUAGUACAAUUUAAAUUGAUUCCGUGAAUAAUUUUUCCUGCCUCCAGUUUCCCUUUUACAUAGUGGGCUCAUGUUUUAAUAUGUUAAACAAUUCUGACAUUGAAAUAAUUUUAUUUUAUAUUUUUGCAUUCACAAAUACUAAUUUUCUCCAUAUAUUAAUGGUGAUGUAGUUUCUCCUCGGCAAUAUUUUAUUGCCUACUCAUGUUUUAUGUCCCCUGGAUUACAGCACUGUCAUUCCACUGUGCCCUAUUUCUUGGUUAUGAUGAAAAGACUCUUAAUUCCAGUAUGAAAUCAUUUCUGCAUUCCAUAAAUUUCAUUUGGCAUCUGUGGAAUUAAGGCAUCUUCAUUGUAUUUGGAUCUCUGAAUCAUAAGUGAUAUUUGCCUAUAAAUUAAGCAAUGAUAUUUAAAUAAGAGAUUACCACAAUCAUAUUUUAUAAAUAUACAACCAUUUUUAAAAACCUGACAAAAUCUACAAAAAAAAGAAAAUGAAAUAUAUGUGGAGUUUUAGAAAAGACUGACUAGGUCCAAGGUUGAGGCACAUAGUGGUUAAGCACAUUGUCAGCUCCGGACUCUGCCUCUUACAAGGAAGGAGGGGGCUUUAGAUGUUAUUUAGCUGUUAUUUAGCCUUUCUACACCUAAGUUCCCCUCACCUGUAAAAAAAACAAUAAUAAUAAAUUGCUUACUUUGUAGAAUCAUUGUAAAUGUUCUAUGUAAAAUAUGAAUAUAGUACUCACAGUAAAGAUGUGUGUGUGUGGUGUGUGGUGUGUAGUUCAGCAAUAGAAAAUGGAAUUUAAUAAGAACGUUAUGAGUUGAAAACAAUGGUAUGUGGACAAUAUUGAAUUUCAGUUGCCAAAAUAAAAUAGACCUCAUGUUUCCCUUCAGGAUCCUCUAACUCUGAAUAUGAAUAGAAGUAUCAGUCACUGGAAAAGAACAAAUGUCCUCUAGGGAUGUGGCAAUAGGAAUAAUCUUAUCUCAGACCAUAAUUGGGUUCCUGAUGAAAAUAUUUUUUCUUUAGCAUUGUAUUUCUCUUUAUUUCACCAAAUGCACAUUAAGGUCUACAGAUCUGAUUCUCAAACACCUGGCUGUAGCCACCUCCUUUGUGAUACUUUAUAAAGGAGUCCCACAGAGAGUGCCUGCUUUUGGGUUGAAACAUUUUCUCAAUAAUAAUUAGGUACAAACUUGUUUUCUAUGUUCACAAAGUGGGCAGGGCUGUGUGCAUUGGCACCACUUGCCUUUUGAAUAUCUUCCAGGCCAUCACAGUCAGCCCCAUGUACUCCUGCUGGGCAGACCUGAAACUACAGGCUCCCAAAUAGAAUGGGUGCUCCAACAUCCUCUGCUGGAUUGUGAUAUGCUGGUAACCGCAUGUGACUGGCAAGUGGAAUGGCGAAAACAACACAAAGAAGGAUUUGGUUACUGUUCUGCAGUAGUUAAUAACUGAUAUGGUUUGGCUAUGUCCCCACUCAAACCUCAUCUUGAAUUCCUAUGUGUUGUGGGAGGAACUUGGUGGGAGGUGAUUGAAUUAUGGGGGCAGGUCUUUUCUGUAUUGUUCUCGGGAUGGUGAAUGAGUCUCAUGAGACCUGAUGGUUUUAAAAACAGGAGUUUCCCUGUACAAGCUCUCUCUUUGCCUGCUCCCAUCCAUGUAAGACCUGACUUGCUCCUGUUUACCUUCCGCCAUGAUUGUGAGGCCUCCCCAACCAUGUGGAACUGAAAGUUUGUUAAACCUUUUUUUCUUCCCAGUCUUGGGUAUGUGUUUAUCAGCAAUGUGAAAAAAAAUGGACUAAUACAGCAAAGUGGUAUCAGUAGAGUGGGGUGCUGCUGAAAAGAUACCCAAAAAUUUGGAAGCGACUUUGGAACUGGGUAACAGGGAAAGGUUGGAAUACUUGAGAUGGCUCAAAAGAAGAAAGGAAAAUGUGGGAAAGUUUGGAACUUCCUAGAGACUUGUUGAAUGGUUUUACCCAAAAUGCUGAUAGCAAUGUGGACAAUAAAGUCCAGGCUAAGGUGGUCUCAGAUGGAGAUGAGGAACUUGUUGGAAACUGGAGCAAAGGUGACUCUCGUUAUGUUUUAGCAAAGAGACUGAUGGUAUUUUGCCCCUGCCCUAGAGAUUUGUGGAACUUUGAACUUGAGAGAGAUGAUUUAGGGUAUCUGGCAGAAGAAAUUUCUAAGCAGCAAAGCAUUCAAGAGGUGACUUGGGUGCUGUUAAAGGCAUUCAUUUUUUAAAUCAAUACCUCCUGAAGUCCUCCUGAGAGCGCCAGAUAUGCAUUCGGGCCGCAUGGGGCAGAAAAGGAGGGCUCCAUCACUCCCUGCUGGCCAUCAGGGUGCAGUGCAGGACACUCAGAGCUCAAUACUUAGUUGUUUCCCAGUGCCCCCUGCUAGACCUCCUACUGAAUCCUGAAAUUCUCAAUUUCUUGAUCUGUCUGCUCCUUUGGAUGAAUAUGCGUCAAAUCCACGGGAGCAUCACAAAAGGAUUCUUUCUCAGUCAUGCCUGUGUGAUAGGACCUUCUUCCAGUUUCUUUCAAAAAUUGAAAAAAUCAUCUGAACGAUGCAGUCUACACUUCUAUCCUCAGACUCUGCUGCAGAGCUUCAUCCUGCAGGACACAGAUGACUACAGGGCUGUUUGAGAUGGAAUCUUCCUUUCUAAAUCUUCUAGGCUUGAUCACAGUCACAAAUGAGCAGAGCAGAUGAAAGUGAAAAAUCUUCUGGCUUGUCCCUAUUUGGGGAGAGCUCUCCAGAAGUAUUUUCAAGAAAUUAGUAGCUAUUCGAGGGAGUGAAAUACAGCUGGUUUGCCUUCGAGAAAGGAAAGUGAAGUGUGCUUUUGUUUCCUCUCAUUUAACAGUUGCAAAAGGCAAAUUAGAAAAUAGGAAUACUCAUGACACUUUCUUAUAAAUACUGCUAAACAAAAUAAUCUGCAUUCAUAUUUUUGUACUGGUAAAAUAUCUGAAAGCAAAAUCAUGGGAAGAUAUUUAAGUAUAUUAUACAUCAUGAAUUUCAAAAACAGAGUGAAGAUCAUGAUACAGGUUUCUUAUAUGAAUAACUGUAUGGUUUAUAUUUUCCUUCACCUUUUGAAAUACUCAGGAAAUGUUUGUUGUACACAGAAUUUGAAUAAAAAUUGUCCAGGCCAGGUGCAGUGGCUCACGCCUAUAAUCCCAGCACUUUGGGAGGCCAAGGCAGGCAGAUCACCUGAGGUCAGAAGUUCAAGACCAGCCUGACCAAUAUGGUGAAACCUUGCCUCUACUAAAAAUGCAAACAUUAGCUGGGCAUGAUGGCGAGUGCCUGUAGUCCCAGCUACUUGAGAGGCUGAGAUAGGAGAAUUGCUUGAACCCAGGAGGUGGGGGUUGCAGUGAGCCAAGAUUGUGCCACUGCACUCCAGCCUGGGUGACAGAGUGAGACUUCAUCUCAAAAUAAAUAAAUAAAUAAAUAAAUAUAAAAAUAAAAAUUUCCAUGCAAACUUUUCUUCAAUAUAUUUUUGUUACAGUUAACGUAAAAUUAGCUGUUGUAAUAGACAAACCUGAAUUUAUCAGCAGUUUGAUCAUCAUGUAAUAUUUAUCAUUGCUGGCAUAUACCACCUCAACACAGGCUUUCAAAUGUCAUGUGACUCUGCUUGUGGAUUUUCCUCCAAAUAUGGAUUUAGGGACCCCCAUACCUUCUAUUGGUGUAUUUCUCAUUGCUAACCUGUGUCUUCAAAUCUGGCUAUGGUGCUUGGGAAAAUUUCAUGCAGUUGUAUGGCAAAAAAUAUUUGGGGCUUCACAGAGGAUGUUUUCACAGGUCAGGCCUGUACCAGGUAAAUGUCGUUUCCACCCACUCAGCUAGGAUGCUUGUAUGGCCAGACCUCAGAACAAAAAGCCUGGGGAAGGGAGUCUUGAACUGUGAGACCAGCGGGAAUACAAGAUUGGUCUGGUGAAUAAGACCACUGUUUUUCUUACACUAUGUGAAAAAAAUGCUGUUAAUGUGAGCAACAGCCGGUUUUCCUGCUUUCAUACAUUUAUGCAAGAAAAUGUGACUUAAAAUCUAAUUCCACAGAUUAAACCUAGAGAAUAUAUUUCAGGGAAGAGGGCAAAAAGGUCAAUCAAUAAGGCUCACACUGUUGACCAUCUGAAAGGGGAUUCCCAUUGAAUCCCAAAAGCACAGAGUAGAGUUGAAAUAUUCCCUAGACAAGUGUUGUAAAAAAAAAAUGAAAGUACAUUACAUAUGUAGGAACAUUUAGAUAUGAACUGACACUAGUGCCAACACUCAGUCACCACGAGAGGCCCUCAAGCAUCCAGGAUAGCCUGUUCUUCCCUCAGCAUAACCAUAAUGUAACAAGCUAACCUUUUCACAAAGGGUGGCUAUGAUUAUAAACCGAGUAUCAGUAAUGAGUUAACACAGGCAACGAUAAUAUCCUGCUACUGUAACUUAAAAACGUGUUUUUAUGUCCAUCAAAAUCAAGUAGUGAUUGUGCAUAAAAUUUUGUAAUAUUUAAGGGUUAGGUAUCCAUCAAACAUGUUACAGACCAGGCAGUUACUCCAGAAAUACCUUUAAAAGGAGAGAAUUAUUGCAAACCACAUAAGAUAUUUAGUCUGCAUUAGGAAAUGAAAAUGCAAGAAACAUUCUGCAAUGUGGAAUGAACAAAUAUGAUUCCUUAAAAUGCAUAAAACUCAGCAAGGACAGAAAACCACGCUGUUUCUCCACUGUGCUGUAAACACAGUGGUCAACAAAACCACAUUAACAUUUUGCCAUGCCUUUGUCAAUAACUUUUCUUGGCAGCCUCAGAUAUAGCCUUCACUUGCAAGACAAGUUGAAAGGGUCUUGUAACAUCUUUCUCUUUUGAAAACCAAUUUAUCAAAAUGAAAACCUUUUAUUGUUGAUUUCACCAUAAAGUUAGUAGAAUCUCAGAAAAGAUACAGAUAAUGCAUAUGUGUCUGAGAAAGAGCUCCUGUAAAGCCCAACACCAAAUACAGGUCAUAUCAUAGAAGUAUUGGUGUCCUGCAUUUUGCUCUUGUAAUUAUACCUGCGUUUAUUACUCUGGGGAGAUUCUCAGGACCAGCAUUGCUGCAUUUUGCUUUUCUAUAUUUUAAUUGUUAAUAGAUAUUGUUUGGUUGCCAACCCCUAAAUGUGGAACACUUUAUAAUCGUAAUAUGCAAGGUAUGAGAACACAGUACUUCUUUCAUCAUCUGUGAUGUAUGAUUAUUCACCCUAAUUUUCUUGAGUCUGAGCAGUUUAACGGAGGUAUAUUUUUAUUAGUUCACUAUUGUUUAAAUUUCUUGUCUUUUCAUGCUAAAAGGAAAGUUGAUAUUUAUCUAUAUCUAUGUCUGUAUAUGCAUGUAUAUCUAUAGAAAUAGAUCCAUUUGUUUGAAGAACCCUCUGUAAUUAAUUGUGAUGAAUUAUGCCUGUUUUAGAAAGUAUUUUGUACACAUAUUUUUAAUAAAAAUUUUCCCCCCGAAUAUUUAACCAAUAUGACAUUAAAAGAGUCAGGAAUUUGUCUCUCACUUUAUUUUCUUUUUGUGGAUCACCAAUUAUUUUUGGAUUAUUCAUUAAAUAAAGAAUCCUCUCACUGAGGUUAAAUCU
rnacentral:sRNA from 1 species